UCUUCCGGCUCAGCCGACAGGGGGCGCUGUCGUCACAUUCUACACCACGUUUGUGAAGAAGUUUACGACGUACUGGGUGAUGGUGCCGUCAGCAACCGUAGCGGAGGCGCCGCACGGAGAGAGCGAACAGGAAUCACACCGUGUACAUUACGGCGACUACGUGUCGGCAAUCCCGCCAGAGGACACCACCGACGAAAGCAAGUCCGUCGUCCAGUGUCUCUGGGAUCUGAUCGGCUCCAUUCUUAACUAGAAUGUUGGUCGCUAGGGGUCGCUGCAUGCACGGACUUCGUGUCUGAUGACGUAGCUUCGUGCUUUAGCUUAAAAUGAUCUUAGAAAGCUACCACACAAACGGAGGCAAAUUUGUAGUCAAUUCUCAAUCCACGGUGAGUUAAGGGGUGUAUUACUAGACGAUCACGAAUAAACAUAAAACCAUAUUAUAUACUGAAUAUUAUGCAAUGGGGAGAGAACCAAUUCGCUCUCAUUCCUCUUUGCUUGAUAUCGUUUUAGCACGCUAUCUGUCUAUCCAUAUCUUUCGACUUAUCAAAACUGUGUUUGUAUUGCUUUGCAGCUUGCAAUUAAUCAAUGACGAAAAUUACCGAAAAUAAACAAACAAAUUCAUGAUCAAUCAAAAAAA